rnacentral:rRNA from 1 species
GACGUAGGGUCCAAGCGUUGUCCGGAUUUACUGGGCGUAAAGAGCGCGUAGGCGGUCUGUUACGUGUGAAGUGCAAUCUCGGGGCUCACCCCCGAAACCGCUUCGCAUCCUGGCAGACUGGAGGGAUGCAGAGGUUUGUGGAAUUCCUGGUGUAGCGGUGAAAUGCAUUGAUAUCAGGAGGAACACCCAUGGCGAAGGCAGCAAACUGGGCAUCAUCUGACGCUGAGGCGCGAAAGCGUGGGUAGCAAACAGG